rnacentral:misc_RNA from 1 species
GAUGAAGAACGCAGCGAAAUGCGAUAAGUAAUGUGAAUUGCAGAAUCCAGUGAAUCAUCGAAUCUUUGAACGCACAUUGCGCCCGCCAGCAGUCUGGCGGGCAUGCCUGUUCGAGCGUCAUUUCAACCCUCGACCUCCCUUUGGGGAAGUCGGCGUUGGGGACCGGCAGCACACCGCCGGCCCUGAAAUGGAGUGGCGGCCCGUCCGCGGCGACCUCUGCGUAGUAAACCAACUCGCACCGGAACCCCGACGUGGCCACGCCGUAAAACACCCAACUUCUGAACGUUGACCUCGAAUCAGGUAGGACUACCCGCUGAACUUAAGCAUAUCAAUAAGCGGAGGA